AUACGUAGGGUGCAAGCGUUAAUCGGAAUUACUGGGCGUAAAGCGUGCGCAGGCGGUUUUGUAAGACAGUGGUGAAAUCCCCGGGCUCAACCUGGGAACUGCCACUGUGACUGCAAGGCUGGAGUGCGGCAGAGGGGGAUGGGAUUCCGCGUGUAGCAGUGAAAUGCGUAGAUAUGCGGAGGAACACCGAUGGCGAAGGCAAUCCCCUGGGCCUGCACUGACGCUCAUGCACGAAAGCGUGGGGAGCAAACAGGAUGAGAUACCCUGGUAGUCCACUCCCUAAACGAUGUCAACUGGUUGUUGGGGAUUUAUUUUCUCAGUAACGAAGCUAACGCGUGAAGUUGACCGCCUGGGGAGUACGGCCGCAAGGUUAAAACUCAAAUGAAUUGACGGGG
rnacentral:rRNA from 1 species